CACUUAAACUAACAAAUGUGACUUCCAAGGCUAGGUCAGAAAAGGCUGUGCAGCUUGCGCCUUUUUCUCUUAGAACACUCACUGUCUGGCGGCACCUCUCAGGACACCCCCCACAGGGCCCAGUGACCAUACUGGGAGGAGCUCAAGCCAACGGUAUGAAGAGCCCAACUCCAGCUGAGCCGUCUUCCAGAGUCACCACAGCCAAGGUAUCAGACAUGUGAGCGAGGCAGCCUUCAGGGUGUUGUCCUCAUUCACAUGGUUGAACUGGAUGCCCAUCACCAUGUUGGCACUCCAGCCUCAGAAAGGAGGUGGAGAGAAAGGGGAGGGCAUGCAACUUUCUUUUAAGGAUGUUACCCAGAAUUGGCACAUAUCAUUAGGCUCACAUCCCAUUGGUGGGACCUUAGUCUUAUAGCCACACCUGACUACAAGGAAGGCUGGGAUAUGUAGGCUCAAAUGGACAGCCAUAUGCCUCCCUGAAACCUGGAGAUUACUGUUACUAAAAGGAAGAAAGGAAAGAUGGAUACUGGUGGACAUUUGGAAAUCUCUUAUGAGUGAGGAAGCAUUAUGGCUGAUGCUGAGAAACAAUUUGUCCAAACCUUUGGGUCCAUAUAUGUGACUCCAUUAUUAUUAUUGACAAGUUGUAUAUCAGGGUGUGAUAGGCAGCCUCUAAAAUGGCUCCCAAUGAGUCCCACCUCCUGGUAUUAAAAUCCUGUGUAAUUCUCUUCUCUUGAGUAACUUUUGUCAAGUGAAGAGAACGUUGAUAGGCUGUCACUUUCAUGGGUAGAUUAAAAAAGAUGUACCUCCACCUUGCCAGCAGACUCUAUUGCCUUCCUGGCUCAUACGUUUUGAUGAAGCAAGCAGCCCUGUUGGAGAGGCCCAUGUAUCAAGAAACUGAAGGCAUCUCCAGGCAACAGCUAGCAAAGACCCAAGGCCCUCAGUCCAACAGCCCAGAGAGAAUUGAAUCCCGCCAACAACUGCUGAAGUUUGGAAGCAGAUCCUUCAUCAGUCAAACCUUCAGAUGAGACGCCAGCCCUGGCUGACACUUUGCAUGCAGCCUUAUGAAAGACUCUGAAGCAGAGGCUGAAACUAAGCUCUGCCUAGACUCCUGGUGCACAGAAUCUGUGAGAUAAUAAAUGUGUGUUGUUUUAAG
rnacentral:lncRNA from 1 species